GACGAACGCUGGCGGCGUGCUUAACACAUGCAAGUCGAACGGAAAGGCCCUGCUUACAGGGUACUCGAGUGGCGAACGGGUGAGUAACACGUGGGUGAUCUGCCCUGCACUUCGGGAUAAGCCUGGGAAACUGGGUCUAAUCCCGGAUAGGAGCCAUUUUGAGUGUGAGGGUUGGAAAGUUUUUUCGGUGUAGGAUGAGCUCGCGGGCUAUCAGCUUGUUGGCGGGGUAAUGGCGUACCAAGGCGGCGACGGGUAGCCGGCCUGGGAGGGUGGACGGCCGAAUUGGGACUGAGGUACGGCCCAGGCUCCUACGGGAGGCAGCAGUGGGGAAGCUUGAACAAUGGGCGCAGGCCUGGUGCAGCGACGCCGCGUGUGGGAUGACGGCCUUCGGGUUGUAAACUCCUAUCGCUAGGGACGAAGCUUUUUGUGACGGUACCUAGAGAAGAAGCACCGGCUAACUACGUG
rnacentral:rRNA from 1 species